rnacentral:rRNA from 1 species
AGCAGCCGCGGUAAUUCCAGCUCCAAUAGCGUAUAUUAAAGUUGUUGCAGUUAAAAAGCUCGUAGUUGAAUUUCGGGGUUAGCAGGUCGGUCGUGCCAUUGGUAUGAACUGGUCUCGCUGAUCCCUCCCUCUUGACGAACUGUGAUGCCAUUAAUUUGGUGUCGCAGGGAAUCAGGACUGUUACUUUGAAAAAAUUAGAGUGUUUAAAGCAGGCUUUCGCUUGAAUACAUUAGCAUGGAAUAAUGAAAUAGGACGUUUGAUCCUAUUUUGUUGGUUUCUAGGAUUGACGUAAUGAUUAAUAGGGAUAGUUGGGGGCAUUAGUAUUCAAUUGUCAGAGGUGAAAUUCUUGGAUUUAUUGAAGACUAACUACUGCGAAAGCAUUUGCCAAGGAUGUUUUCAUUAAUCAAGAACGAAAGUUAGGGGAUCGAAGACGAUCAGAUACCGUCGUAGUCUUAACCAUAAACUAUGCCGACUAGGGAUCGGAUGAUGUUAAUUUUUUAAUGACUCA